UCCGGAAUUACUGGGCGUAAAGAGCUCGUAGGUGGUUUGUCGCGUUGUUCGUGAAAUCUCACGGCUUAACUGUGAGCGUGCGGGCGAUACGGGCAGACUUGAGUACUGCAGGGGAGACUGGGAUUCCUGGUGUAGCGGUGGAAUGCGCAGAUAUCAGGAGGAACACCGGUGGCGAAGGCGGGUCUCUGGGCAGUAACUGACGCUGAGGAGCGAAAGCGUGGGGAGCGAACAGGAUUAGAUACCCUGGUAGUCCACGCCGUAAACGGUGGGUACUAGGUGUGGGUUUCCUUCCUUGGGAUCCGUGCCGUAGCUAACGCAUUAAGUACCCCGCCUGGGGAGUACGGCCGCAAGGCUAAAACUCAAAGAAAUUGACGGGGGCCCGCACAAGCGGCGGAGCAUGUGGAUUAAUUCGAUGCAACGCGAGGAACCUUACCUGGGUUUGACAUGCACAGGACGCCGGCAGAGAUGUCGGUUCCCUUGUGGCCUGUGUGCAGGUGGUGCAUGGCUGUCGUCAGCUCGUGUCGUGAGAUGUUGGGUUAAGUCCCGCAACGAG
rnacentral:rRNA from 1 species